UACGAGGGGGGCAAGCGUUGUUCGGAAUUACUGGGCGUAAAGCGCGCGCAGGCGGUCUUCCAAGUCAGUGGUGAAAGCCCGGAGCUCAACUCCGGAACUGCCAUUGAAACUGUUAGACUUGAGGACGAGAGAGGUGAGUGGAAUUCCCAGUGUAGAGGUGAAAUUCGUAGAUAUUGGGAAGAACACCGGUGGCGAAGGCGGCUCACUGGCUCGUAUCUGACGCUCAGGCGCGACAGCGUGGGGAUCAAACAGG
rnacentral:rRNA from 1 species